rnacentral:rRNA from 1 species
UACGGAGGGGGCUAGCGUUGUUCGGAAUUACUGGGCGUAAAGCGUACGUAGGCGGCUUUGUAAGUUAGAGGUGAAAGCCCGGGGCUUAACUCCGGAAUUGCCUUUAAGACUGCAUCGCUUGAAUCAUGGAGAGGUGAGUGGAAUUCCGAGUGUAGAGGUGAAAUUCGUAGAUAUUCGGAAGAACACCAGUGGCGAAGGCGACUCACUGGACAUGUAUUGACGCUGAGGUACGGAAAAGCGUGGGGAGCAAACAGG